GUUUCGUCUGUUGCUCUGUCAAGCGAAGGCUCCCGCUUAUCUCUAAUCCACAAUAAUCCUUACACUAUUUCUCUAAUUGUCAUCCUCUCAUCACUUGUUGUCACCUGUUUUCUUAUUUAUCACUGAUUACUAAUAACUCUUUGAAUUUUGAAGCAAUAUUA
ensembl:ncRNA F08B6.7 ncRNA